rnacentral:rRNA from 1 species
UCGCUAGUAAUCGCGGAUCAGAAUGCCGCGGUGAAUACGUUCCCGGGUCUUGUACACACCGCCCGUCACACCAUGGGAGUCGGAAAUGCCCGAAGUCUGUGACCUAACCGUAAGGAAGGAGCAGCCGAAGGCAGGUCGGAUGACUGGGGUGAAGUCGUAACAAGGUAGC